AAACCAUGGUUGGGGCAUUGCUUAAGAAGGUUCUUGUACCUCUCCCACACAUCCACUAGUGUCUCUCCAUCCCUCUGCAUGAAGUUAGCAAUAUCACCUCUAGUUU